UCCGGUGGAAAUAGCGAGAAGGCCACACCCGUUCCCAUCCCGAACACGGAAGUUAAGCUUCUCAGCGCCGAUGAUACUUGGACAGAAACGUCCCGGGAAAGUAGGUCUCCGCCGGAA
rnacentral:rRNA from 1 species